AGUGAACGCUGGCGGUAGGCCUAACACAUGCAAGUCGAACGGCAGCACAGUAAGAGCUUGCUCUUACGGGUGGCGAGUGGCGGACGGGUGAGGAAUACAUCGGAAUCUACUUUUUCGUGGGGGAUAACGUAGGGAAACUUACGCUAAUACCGCAUACGACCUACGGGUGAAAGCAGGGGAUCUUCGGGCCUUGCGCGAUUGAAUGAGCCGAUGUCGGAGUAGCUAGUUGGCGGGGUAAAGGCCCACCAAGGCGACGAUCCGUAGCUGGUCUGAGAGGAUGAUCAGCCACACUGGAACUGAGACACGGUCCAGACUCCUACGGGAGGCAGCAGUGGGGAAGAUUGGACAAUGGGCGCAAGCCUGAUCCAGCCAUACCGCGUGGGUGAAGAAGGCCUUCGGGUUGUAAAGCCCUUUUGUUGGGAAAGAAAAGCAGCAGGUUAAUACCCCGCUGUUCUGACGGUACCCAAAGAAUAAGCACCGGCUAACUUCGUG
rnacentral:rRNA from 1 species